UCCUUGGUGGCUCAGAGUUUAAAGCAUCUGCCUCCAAUGCAGGAGACCCAGGUUUGAUCCCUGGGUUGAGAA
rfam:TPA: Bos taurus chromosome 28, whole genome shotgun sequence.